AGCGUGUCUGGGGUAAGGAGUCCGCUGCCAUCAGCCCCACUGAUGAGUCUAGGCAGUGACUUUGAGACGAAACGCAAA
rnacentral:hammerhead_ribozyme from 17 species